UAAAAAUUAAAGUAAAAGAAUAAAUAGUUACAUCAGUAACACAAAAUACAAGUCAACUAGAUAAAGUAGUAUUGAAUGCUAAUUAUAGAAUCUUGAAACCUACCAAUGGAACUAGUAUUCAAUGUUAAUAAUUACUGAAAACCUGUUGUAACCUAUCCUAAAACCAAAUCUACUUGGUUCGCCAUAACUACAGAAUUGCCUUUUCCUUCUUUCUUUUUUCUUUUCCUGACUACUACUUCUUCCUUUUUUUCCUUUCCUGACUACUACUACAAAAAAGAAAUAGAAAAGAAAGAGAAAUAAAAGAGUGGAAGAAAAAGCAAUUUAAUGAAAUUAUAGCAGGAGAAAUAUAUGCCCAAUGCAGAGUGGAAUUGAUUACAUCGACCCCAGUGUUCAACUGGUACUUAUUUUAUCAACCCUGAAAGGAUGAAAGUCAAGGUCAACCUCUGUGAAAUUUGAGCUCAGAAUGUGAAGACGGAUGAAAUGCCACUAAGCAUUUUGCCAGGUGAAGGAAAUAGGAGUUGGUUAGAGAGGAGGAAGUGGCAGUACAAAAAGAAGUAGGUGGGUAAGAAAGGAUGCACAGUGACAGAGAUGGAGUUCAGAGGUUGUUUAUAGAAGACCAGCAGUUAUCCAUGCAUACCAGCCUCCCCUCACCACACCAUAGAUGUUAUCCAAGGAAAAAGCAAAGGCCGACACAGCUUGGUACCAGUGACAUUGCAACUCAUUUCUACAGAUGAAUGAACUGGAGCAACAGGAAAUAAAGUGUCUUGCACAAGAACACAAUAUAGAGCCCGGUCAAGGAAUUGAAUUCACUACCUCAUGAUUGUGAGCUUGACAGUCUAACCACUGAGUCAUGUGCCUUCAUUGUUUUUAAAUAAACUUAACCAUAUUUAACUUGGUCAUAAAUUGGGUUAGCUAGACAGCAUAAAAAUGGUUGAGAGAAAGUAAAUGUUGACCUUAAGGAUAUCAUUCACCCACUGUUGUAGGCAAAUGAUAUAUGCAUGUGUGUGUGUGCACACGCACACUCACACUCACACACAAGUCAUAUCCCUAUGUUCAAUAAUUAGAUAUUUUAUAUCACUGAAAUUAGACAAAGUGGUUUUGAUUGAUGCAGUUAAACAACAUACUAAGUAGUUGUUAUUCAAUGUAGUUUCAUUCAUAAACCAAAUCACCUCAGCUACUAAUCCAUGACACAUAUUAAACUAGUAUUCUUUGUGUCUUUAUAGUGUUUGCAUACUGACAAUGAAAAGUAUUUUAAAAAAUGAAUAUUAAAACAGCAAGGAUAACUAAUGUUUCUAAUUUAGUACAAGGACAGUAGUUUGUCAGAAAGGGGAUUGAUUACAUCAGCCCUUGUAUUUCACUGGUGUAUUAUUUUUGCUUACUAUCCAGUCUUUCUCUUUGUGAUAUUCUAAACAAUUAUAGCAAGCAGUAAAUGUCUUUUACCAGGGUUUGGCUGAAUAAAUCAACCCCAGUACUUAUAUUUUCUUUUCUAAGCUUUGUAUAUAUCUGAUUCUUUUUGCCAAACUGCUAAGUUACAAGGACAUAAACAAAUCAACAUUUGUUGUCAAGUGGUGGUGGGGGACAAACACAAGCAUGCCCAUAUAUAUAUAUAGGAGAAAAUUAUGAUAUUUAUAUUAUUAGUUCCUACAUGUUUCACCAUUGUGGUUGUUUAUUGUCAUUUUUCCAACAUUUGCUCUGUCUAUGAUAACUAGUAAUACUACUAAAUAUAGUAGUUGCUCAAUCACUAUACUGAAUGCAGGCUGGAUGAUGAUAAUCUAUGUGGAGCUCUAAAGUUAAUAGUAGCAGUUGUACCACUAUUUGUAUACAUAAAAUACAACAAAUACACACACACUCACAAUAGGCUUCUUUCAGUUUCUGUAAUCAAAACCAUUGACAAGGCUUUGGUUCACCCCAAGGUUAUAAUAGAAGACACUUGCCCAAGGUGCCAUGCAGCAGACUUGAAUCUUGGAUCAUGUAGCUGGGAAGUAAACUUCUUACCACACAGAAUUAUUUUUCAUUUCUUUAAUCACAAUGUUAUUAUUGUUCAACCUUCUAUGAUUAUUUAACAACAGUAUAUGUUAUUUGGUGAUAUUUACCGAAUGAGUUUAUGAACGAAUCACACCCUCACCAUACUUUGAUAAAAACUAAACAAUAAUUUCUUGUUUCAUCAUGGUUCAGCUGUUGACUUGUUUUUAUAUCUCAGUGUAUAAGUAAUUUUGACACUUUAUAAAUAUUAUUGAUGAUUCAGUAUUCAAGGACAUAAAAACCAACAAAAAGGUAUAGAAUGACAUCCUAAUUACAUAUGCAAAUAACUCAUUAGUAAACAAAGCAACAAGUAAUGUAUGUUAGCUGAUAAUAUUGGAAUACACACACAUACAUACAAAUGUUAAUAAACAUAUGUAAAACAUGUGAUAUCUAUAAAAAUAAGACAUCAUGACAAUACAAUAUUAAAAUACAAAAUAAGACAGCAAGCUGGCAGAAUCAUUAGCAGGCUAGGCAAAAUGCUUAGCAACAUUUUCUCCAUCUUUAUGUUCUUAGUUCAAAUCCUGCUAAGGUCAACUUUUAACAUCCACUUUUCCAUGCCUCUACAGAUUAGAUGGAACUUGUUGAGGUAGAUUUUCUAUAGCAGGAUGCCCUUCCUUGUUGCCAAGCAAGGUAAUAUUCCCCUAAAGCUAAAUUUGUGUUUAUAGGAGAUUGAAGAGAUACUGCUUGUAUGACAGUGAUACCUGGAUACAACUAUUAGGUGCAUGGCUCAGUGGUUAGAGCAUCGAGCUCACAAUCAUGAGGUGAUGAGUUUGAUUCCGAGGCCGAGCUGUGUGUUGUGUUCUUGAGCAAGACACUUUAUUUCACGUUGCUCCAGUCCACUCAGCUGUAGAAAUGAGUUGCGACAUCACGGGUGCCAAGCUGUAUUGGCCUUUGCCUUUUCCUUGGAUAACAUCAGUGGCUGGAGAGGAGAGGCUGGUAUGCAUGGGCAACUGCUGGUCUUCCAUAAACAACUUUGCCCAGACUUGUGCCUUGGAGGGGAACUUUCUAGGUGCAAUCUCAUGAUUGAAGGGGUUCUUUACUCUUUACUGUAUCAAGAUAAAGAGGCACAAACAACCCCCUAUAUAUGAGAAUAUACUGAGCUAUGCGCCUUCACAUAUGUCUUAUGAGAGGUCCUAUUUUAAGGAUACAUCUAUUUCCUUAUGAUAAGUAUAUCAUUGAAAUGUUGAGUCUGUGUGUUGUAUUUUCAUAUUUUUAAUAAUAUUCAUGGAUGUUAUUUUAAAAGAAAUUAUCUGAUUAUAUAUCAAAUCUAAACUGAAUUUGUGGAUUAAUGUUGCUUCAGAUAUCUCAGUUUCAAGUUGAAGAAAGGAGAUUAGGAGAGAGAGAGAGAGAGAGAGAGAGCAAGAGAGAGAAUAAGUGAAAGAAUUAGCUUUUAGUUUACUGUAUAUAUUUUAAUAAGACAUGCCUAAGGUAAACUAUCUUUCUGUUACAAAUAUACAUUUCUCUUAUAUAUCUUACACACACACACACACGCACAUACAUACACACACACACACAUGCCAGACUUCCUCCCUAUUUCUCUUCUCUCUUCAUAGUUCUUUCUUGCCACCUCUCUAUAUUACAAUUUUCUCUCUUUUCUCACUUUUACCUUCAUUCUUUAUACCUAAAGAAAUAUAUUUGAUAUUGAAAAAUUUUUUUUUGUUUCAUUUUUAAGCUAUUUUGUUUUAAUAUGAUAAAUACUCAAAAUGUUUUGACAUAAAAAAAAAGUUAUAUUAGUUUUUGUAUAAUCAAUGUUUUUCUUUCUUUUCUUUUACAACUCAUUUGUGGGAGGAGUAAAGCAGUUGUGAAACAUAAAUUAAUUAAAAUUAGAAUUAAAACCCAAAUUGUAUAGGGGAGUGAACUGGAAAAAAAAAGUGAUUACACAUGUCAUAUACAACAAGGAUAUCUCUCAAUCUUUCUAGUGAAUAUUGCAAAAUCUGUACAACAGCUUUCAACUUAAAUCCUAUUAAAAUCAUGCAUUUCAGUAAUGGAUGCCAACAAAACUUUCUGGGAAGAGGGAGGGGGACAAAGUAAGAAUGGCAGUAAGUGAAUCAAAUAAAAUGCUGUGUUGGUAGAAUGAAUUACAGAUAGAGGUAUAGUGAGAGAAUAAGAUCCAGUCUGGAUGUAAAGGGAGAAAAGCAGAGAGAUUUGAAGAUGUAAUGUAUGUUAAAAGAGUUAGAGAACUAAAUGCAACAAAUAAUUUUGCUUGUGAAUUAUAUGUACUGUGUAGAUGUUACAGAAGAUGUCAUACACGAGACACCACCACCACCACCACCACUUGUCUUUUAUCUUUUACUUGUUUCAGUCAUUAGAUUGCAGCCAUAUUGUUUUCUCUUUUGCUGAACUGCUAAGUUACAGGGAUGUAAACACACCAGUACCGGUUGUCAAGCAGUGGUAGUGGGGAAUACAGACACAAAGACACACAUAUAAAUACAUUUGUGCAACAGGCUUCUUUUAGUUUCUGUCAACCAAAUCCACUCACAAUGCUUUGGUUGGCCAGAUCUAUAGUAGAAGACACUUGCUUAAAGUGUCAUGCAUUGGGACUGAACCCCAAACCAUAUAGUUAGAAAGCAAGCUUCUUAUCACACAACCAAGUCUAUUUUCCAAGCUGGCAUGGAUUGGACAAGUUACUAUGAUCCAAGUCAUUUGGUUGAGGUCAUGCUGGGGCAACACCUUGAAGAAUUUUAGCCAAACAAAUCAACCCCAUUACUUAUUUUUUAAAACUUGGUACUUAUUCUAUUGAUCACAUUUGCUGAAGCACUAAAUUAUGAGGACAUAAAAAACCAAAACCAGUUGUCAAGAGGUGGUGGAAGACAAAGAUACACAUUCAUUGGACAACAGCCAUUGCACAACAGCCAUGUUGAGAUACCACCUUGAAGGAUUUAGUCAAACAAAUCAAUCCCAGUACUUAUUCUUUAAGUCUGGUACUUAUUCUAUCAGUUCUAUUGCCAAACCACUAAAUUAUAGGGAUGUAAACAGACCAACACUGAUUAUCAAAUAGUGGAAGAGGGAUAAACACAUAAAGAAAGACACAUACUCACAUGUAUAUAAAUAUAUACAACAGGUUUCCAUACUGUUUUUGUUUACCAAAUUCACUUACAGGGCAUUGGUCAGCUCCAGGCUAUAGAAGACACUUGUCUGAGGUGCUGCGCAGUGGGGUUCAACCCAAAACCACAUGGUCGCAAAGCAAUCUUCUUAACCUCAAAGCCAUACAGAAUUUUCUUUUUCUUUAUUUUAUGUUAACAUACAUAAGUUGAUAUGCAUUCCUCUAAAAUCAGAGCAACCAUAUUUGGUACAUUCUUGUAAGUACAACUAUUUCACAAUUUUUGCUUCCCUUUCUCACAUUUUACUGCUCAUGCCACCAAAUUAAACAAUAUUAUUGAUAAGGUGUUAAAAUUGUGAUGACUUUUGAUCAAUGGCUGAUGAUGGAUGAGUAUGCUUAUGCCCUGUGUGUGGGUUUAUUUUUCAUUUUCCCAGAUAGUCCUUUGUCAUCCUCUUGUGCCACAUUUUACUAUAUAUAAAAAUACAAUAAAAUGUGGUGCAAGAGUACAACAAAAUACCAUCAGGAAAAACUGUAAAAAUAAAAAAAAAGAAAGAAAAAUAAUGUGUGCAUGUGCCUGUAAGUGUGAGUGUAUUUCUUCCAGUUUUCUUGUAAUUAUUUACAUCUGCAACAAAAGCAUGCCCAACUAUUGAGCAGAUUGUCAUUCAAAAGAUCAGGAGAAAUAGCAAUUUACGUUGAAACAAGUGAGGAAGGGCAUUGGCCAUAGGAAAAUUGCCUCAGUAAGUCUUGUAUAACUCAUGCUAGAAUGGAAAAAGCAGAUGUUAAAAUGAUAGUGGUGGUUGUGGUGAUGAUGAUGAUGUUUGUGGUGGUGGUGAUGAUGAUGAUGAUGAUGAUGAUGAUGAUGAUGAUGAUGACAAGAACGAUAAUGAUGAUAAUGUUUACACCUAAAUAAUUUUUUGGCAGAUUAUUGCUUUCAUAAGUAAUGUUGAAAAUAUGACCACAGAUUUUGGUUGAGAAAUAUUUCCAGAACUUGAAUAGAUUUCAUGGUUUGUAAUGUUAAGUUUAAAAUACUACCACCAAGAUUUUAUUGUUUCCUAUACUUCAAAUGUAUCGUACACCUAUCAUCAUAGAUUUAUUGAGAAGUUACACAUACGAAAGCAAAAGAAAGAGGGGGAAGGAAAAGAGAGAGAAAGGGAGAGAAAGAGAGAGGGGCAGGAGGGAGAGAAAGAAAGAAACUAUUGCACAGCAGCUGAAAUCUGGAACUUUUUAAGUGUGUAUGAGAGUAGCUGGUGUAUUAAGAUACAUAAAUGUUUGUGUGAGAACAUAUAUUUACUUACAUAAAUAAACACACAUACAAUGUUAAAAAGGUGUA